GAUGAACGCUGGCGGCGUGCCUAAUACAUGCAAGUCGAGCGAACAGACGAUGCGCUUGCUCCUCUCACGUUAGCCGAACGCGGGUGAGUCACGCGUGUAUACUCUCCCUAUCAGACUGGGAUAACUUCGAGAAUCCGGGGCUUAUACCGUAUAAUAUCUUGAACCGCAUGGUUCAAUAGUGAAAGUCGGUUUUUCUGUCACUUAUAGCUGGAUACGGGCCGCAUUGGAUAGUUGGUACGGUAACGGCUUUCCAAGGCUACGAUGCGUAGGCGAACUGAGAGAGUGAUCGGCCACACUGGAACGUAGACACGGUCCAGACUCCUACGGGAGGCAGCAGUAGGGAAUCUUCCGCAAUGGGCGAAAGCCUGACGGAGCAACGCCGCGUGAGUGAUGAAGGUCUUCGGAGCGUAAAACUCUGUUUUGAGGGAAGAACAAAUGUGGAAUUAACUAUGCACGUCUUGACGGUACCGAAUCAGAAAGCCACGGCUAACUACGUG
rnacentral:rRNA from 1 species